rnacentral:rRNA from 1 species
GAUGAACGCUAGCUACAGGCUUAACACAUGCAAGUCGAGGGGAAACGACAUCGAAAGCUUGCUUUUGAUGGGCGUCGACCGGCGCACGGGUGAGUAACGCGUAUCCAACCUGCCCACCACUUGGGGAUAACCUUGCGAAAGUAAGACUAAUACCCAAUGAUAUCCCACGAAGGCAUCCGAAUGGGAUUAAAGAUUUAUCGGUGAUGGAUGGGGAUGCGUCUGAUUAGCUUGUUGGCGGGGUAACGGCCCACCAAGGCAACGAUCAGUAGGGGUUCUGAGAGGAAGGUCCCCCCACAUUGGAACUGAGACACGGUCCAAACUCCUACGGGAGGCAGCAGUGAGGAAUAUUGGUCAAUGGACGGGAGUCUGAACCAGCCAAGUAGCGUGCAGGAUGACGGCCCUAUGGGUUGUAAACUGCUUUUAUAGGGGGAUAAAGUGUGCCACGUGUGGCAUAUUGCAGGUACCCUAUGAAUAAGGACCGGCUAAUUCCGUG